rnacentral:rRNA from 1 species
CCCUAGUAACUGCGAGUGAAGCGGGAAAAGCUCAAAUUUAAAAUCUGGCGGUCUUUGACUGUCCGAGUUGUAAUCUAGAGAAGUGUUAUCCGCGCUGGACCGUGUACAAGUCUCCUGGAAUGGAGCGUCAUAGAGGGUGAGAAUCCCGUCUUUGACACGGACUGCCAGGGCUUUGUGAUAUGCUCUCAAAGAGUCGAGUUGUUUGGGAAUGCAGCUCAAAAUGGGUGGUAAAUUCCAUCUAAAGCUAAAUAUUGGCGAGAGACCGAUAGCGAACAAGUACCGUGAGGGAAAGAUGAAAAGAACUUUGGAAAGAGAGUUAAACAGUACGUGAAAUUGCUGAAAGGGAAACGCUUGAAGUCAGUCGCGUUGUCCGGGGAUCAACCUUGCUUUUGCUGGGCGUACUUCCCGGUUAAUGGGUCAGCAUCAAUUUUGAUCGUUGGAUAAAGGUUAGGGGAAAGUGGCAUCUUCGGAUGUGUUAUAGCCCUUGGUCGCAUACAACGGUUGGGAUUGAGGAACUCAGCACGCCGCAAGGCCGGGUAUUUAUACCACGUUCGUGCUUAGGAUGCUGGCAUAAUGGCUUUAAUCGACCCGUCUUGAAACACGGACCAAGGAGUCUAACAUGCCUGCGAGUGUUUGGGUGGAAAACCCGAGCGCGUAAUGAAAGUGAAAGUUGAGAUCCCUGUCGUCGGGAGCAUCGACGCCCGGACCAGACCUUUUGUGACGGAUCCGCGGUAGAGCAUGUAUGUUGGGACCCGAAAGAUGGUGAACUAUGCCUGAAUAGGGUGAAGCCAGAGGAAACUCUGGUGGAGGCUCGUAGCGAUUCUGACGUGCAAAUCGAUCGUCAAAUUUGGGUAUAGGGGCGAAAGACUAAUCGAACCAUCUAGUAGCUGG